CUACGUGUACUAUACUGCAGUCGAGCGAACAGAUGAGAAGCUUGCUUCUCUGAUGUUAGCGGCGGACGGGUGAGUAACACGUGGGUAACCUACCUAUAAGACUGGGAUAACUCCGGGAAACCGGGGCUAAUACCGGAUAAUAUUUUGAACCGCAUGGUUCAAUAGUGAAAGACGGUUUCGGCUGUCACUUAUAGAUGGACCCGCGCCGUAUUAGCUAGUUGGUAAGGUAACGGCUUACCAAGGCGACGAUACGUAGCCGACCUGAGAGGGUGAUCGGCCACACUGGAACUGAGACACGGUCCAGACUCCUACGGGAGGCAGCAGUAGGGAAUCUUCCGCAAUGGGCGAAAGCCUGACGGAGCAACGCCGCGUGAGUGAUGAAGGUCUUCGGAUCGUAAAACUCUGUUGUUAGGGAAGAACAAAUUUGUUAGUAACUGAACAAGUCUUGACGGUACCUAACCAGAAAGCCACGGCUAACUACGUGCCAGCAGCCGCGGUAAUACGUAGGUGGCAAGCGUUAUCCGGAAUUAUUGGGCGUAAAGCGCGCGUAGGCGGUUUCUUAAGUCUGAUGUGAAAGCCCACGGCUCAACCGUGGAGGGUCAUUGGAAACUGGGAAACUUGAGUGCAGAAGAGGAGAGUGGAAUUCCAUGUGUAGCGGUGAAAUGCGCAGAGAUAUGGAGGAACACCAGUGGCGAAGGCGGCUCUCUGGUCUGUAACUGACGCUGAUGUGCGAAAGCGUGGGGAUCAAACAGGAUUAGAUACCCUGGUAGUCCACGCCGUAAACGAUGAGUGCUAAGUGUUAGGGGGUUUCCGCCCCUUAGUGCUGCAGCUAACGCAUUAAGCACUCCGCCUGGGGAGUACGACCGCAAGGUUGAAACUCAAAGGAAUUGACGGGGACC
rnacentral:rRNA from 1 species